rnacentral:tRNA from 1 species
GCAGUGGUGGUUCAGCGGUAGAAUGCUCGCCUUCCAUGCAGGAGACCCAGGUCUGACUCCCAGCCAAUGCA